GAGGCCCCGCCUCCCACGUGCGGGUGCUCCUCUCCCAGAGCUCACCAGUCCUUCCAGCAGUCCUCAGGUUGCACGCGACCAGCAGUGGACUUUACUGAGUAGGGGUGGGAAGCCGGUGGCUCCGGGCAGCCGUGAUAACCCGGCACAGAAGCAGAGUCGCAUUUCGGAGCGUCCACCCGUAACCUGGCUUCUCGCACAUGGAGCCCAUAGUCCAGGAGAGAGAAGGCCAGGGCGGCCCUGGAGAGGUUGUAGGUGCAGGCGGAUCGGCGGCGGAGACCCCUUCGUGCUCAGGAAGGCACUGUGAGCUGCAUGGAGCUGAACCCCUUUCCCAGACAGUAGAGUCUCCCCUCCCCCUCCGGGGACCUUUACCUGUCACCUCCUGAAGGAUCGAACAGGGAUUGUCCACUAAAGUAGCCUUAGCAUGCACUUGGUUCUGCUGUAGACUCCACUCUCUUCAGUACCACAACAGGACUACUUAUUCCUUAGGCGAUGUACAGCCAAACAAGGUGACUAGCUGCCUGCCAGGAGACCUUAUUAAAAGAUUUCAUUUCUUCGCAUCCAGCUCUGUUUCCUGAGGCAUUUGCAAACCAAUUCAGCACUAUGGAAAAACAAGUCCAGGAAAGAAAUGUUUUAAAAGCUGGCACAUCAAGCUGGGUACAAUGUCUCAUACCUGCACUUGGAAAUCUGAAGCAGGAGGAAGGCGGAAAGGCUUGGGCUACAAGUGAGACUGUCUCAGAAAACAAAAAAACAAACAAAUUACUCCCCCCCCCAUCCCCCAGAAAACCAAAACCAAAACA
rnacentral:lncRNA from 1 species